CACGCCGUAAACGAUGAAUACUAGGUGUCGGGGUCGUAUAGGCUUCGGUGCCGCCGCAAACGCAGUAAGUAUUCCACCUGGGGAGUACGUUCGCAAGAAUGAAACUCAAAGGAAUUGACG
rnacentral:rRNA from 1 species